rnacentral:rRNA from 1 species
AAUAGAUACCCGGGUAGUCCACGCCGUAAACGAUGAGUGCUAAGUGUUAGAGGGUUUCCGCCCUUUAGUGCUGCAGCUAACGCAUUAAGCACUCCGCCUGGGGAGUACGGCCGCAAGGCUGAAACUCAAAGGAAUUGACGGGGGCCCGCACAAGCGGUGGAGCAUGUGGUUUAAUUCGAAACAACGCGAAGAACCUUACCAGGUCUUGACAUCCUCUGCCAACCCUAGAGAUAGGGCGUUCCCCUUCGGGGGACAGAGUGACAGGUGGUGCAUGGUUGUCGUCAGCUCGUGUCGUGAGAUGUUGGGUUAAGUCCCGCAACGAGCGCAACCCUUGAUCUUAGUUGCCAGCAUUCAGUUGGGCACUCUAAGGUGACUGCCGGUGACAAACCGGAGGAAGGUGGGGAUGACGUCAAAUCAUCAUGCCCCUUAUGACCUGGGCUACACACGUGCUACAAUGGAUGGUACAAAGAGCUGCGAACCCGCGAGGGUAAGCGAAUCUCAUAAAGCCAUUCUCAGUUCGGA